CUUCAUAUCUUAUGUGAAUAGUGAUUGCCAUGGCAACGGGUGAAAACACGCAUUACUUUUUGCGAGGGCAGCCACUAUUCACAUAAAAGUAGCUG
rnacentral:pre_miRNA from 1 species